GGAGGGUUCGCAUAGAGGUCUAGUGCGCACGCUUGGAAAGCGUGUAUGGAGAAAUCCAUCAGGAGUCCGAAUCUCCUACCCUCCGCCA
rnacentral:tRNA from 3 species